rnacentral:rRNA from 1 species
GCAGUCGAACGAUGAACCGGUUUCGGCCGGGGAUUAGUGGCGAACGGGUGAGUAACACGUGGGCAAUCUGCCCUGCACUCUGGGAUAAGCCCGGGAAACUGGGUCUAAUACCGGAUACGACACUCCAAGGCAUCUUGGAGUGUGGAAAGUUCCGGCGGUGCAGGAUGAGCCCGCGGCCUAUCAGCUUGUUGGUGGGGUAAUGGCCUACCAAGGCGACGACGGGUAGCCGGCCUGAGAGGGUGACCGGCCACACUGGGACUGAGACACGGCCCAGACUCCUACGGGAGGCAGCAGUGGGGAAUAUUGCACAAUGGGCGAAAGCCUGAUGCAGCGACGCCGCGUGAGGGAUGACGGCCUUCGGGUUGUAAACCUCUUUCAGCAGGGAAGAAGCGAAAGUGACGGUACCUGCAGAAGAAGCACCGGCUAACUACGUGCCAGCAGCCGCGGUAAUACGUAGGGUGCGAGCGUUGUCCGGAAUUAUUGGGCGUAAAGAGCUCGUAGGCGGUUUGUCGCGUCGAUUGUGAAAGCCCGGGGCUUAACCCUGGGUCUGCAGUCGAUACGGGCAGGCUAGAGUUCGGCAGGGGAGACUGGAAUUCCUGGUGUAGCGGUGAAAUGCGCAGAUAUCAGGAGGAACACCGGUGGCGAAGGCGGGGUCUCUGGGCCGAUACUGACGCUGAGGAGCGAAAGCGUGGG